rnacentral:rRNA from 1 species
GACACGACCGUACCGCAAACCGACACUGGUGCGCGAGAUGAGUAUUCUAAGGCGCUUGAGAGAACUCAGGAGAAGGAACUCGGCAAAUUGACACCGUAACUUCGGAAGAAGGUGUGCCUUUAGUAGGUGAAGUCCCUGCGGAUGGAGCCCAAUGAGGUUGCAAAAAAUCGGUGGCUGCGACUGUUUACUAAAAACACAGCACUCUGCAAACACGAAAGUGGACGUAUAGGGUGUGACGCCUGCCCGGUGCUGGAAGAUUAAAUGAUGGGGUGCAAGCUCUUGAUUGAAGUCCCAGUAAACGGCGGCCGUAACAAUAACGGUCCUAAGGUAGCGAAAUUCCUUGUCGGGUAAGUUCCGACCUGCACGAAUGGCGUAACGAUGGCCACACUGUCUCCUCCUGAGACUCAGCGAAGUUGAAAUGUUUGUGAUGAUGCAAUCUCCCCGCGGAAAGACGGAAAGACCCCAUGAACCUUUACUGUAGCUUUGUAUUGGACUUUGAACAGAUCUGUGUAGGAUAGGUGGGAGGCUUUGAAGUAGGGUCGCUAGAUCUUAUGGAGCCAACGUUGAAAUACCACCCUGGUGUGUUUGAGGUUCUAACCUAGGUCCAUUAUCUGGAUCGGGGACAGUGCAUGGUAGGCAGUUUGACUGGGGCGGUCUCCUCCCAAAGUGUAACGGAGGAGUUCGAAGGUACGCUAGUUACGGUCGGACAUCGUGACGAUAGUGCAAUGGCAUAAGCGUGCUUAACUGCGAGACUGACAAGUCGAGCAGAUGCGAAAGCAGGACAUAGUGAUCCGGUGGUUCUGUAUGGAAGGGCCAUCGCUCAACGGAUAAAAGGUACUCUGGGGAUAACAGGCUGAUACCGCCCAAGAGUUUAUAUCGACGGCGGUGUUUGGCACCUCGAUGUCGGCUCAUCUCAUCCUGGGGCUGUAGCCGGUCCCAAGGGUAUGGCUGUUCGCCAUUUAAAGAGGUACGUGAGCUGGGUUUAAAACGUCGUGAGACAGUUUGGUCCCUAUCUUCCGUGGGCGCUGCAGAUUUGAGGAAGCCUGCUCCUAGUACGAGAGGACCGGAGUGGACACACCUCUGGUGUAUCGGUUGUCACGCCAGUGGCAUUGCCGAGUAGCUAAGUGUGGAAGAGAUAACCGCUGAAAGCAUCUAAGCGGGAAACUCGUUUCAAGAUGAGAUCUGCCGGGGCCUUGAGCCCCCUAAAGAGUCGUUCAAGACCAGGACGUUGAUAGGUCAGGUGUGGAAGCGCAGUAAUGCGUUAAGCUAACUGAUACUAAUUGCUCGUGCGGCUUGACCAA